UAAUACAUUUAUUCAAUACAUUGGAAUACAAAAUAAGCCACCCAGCAACCCAUUAUUGGCUAUUAGCAGGACAAUAGACUCUUGCCAAGAAGGAGGGUAGGGGGAGAAUUGUAUCGUUACGGAUGAAUGUUUUCAGUUAAUGCCAAACAAGUUUGAUCAAGUUGGAUCAGGUUUAAAUCAGUAGACCUCCAUUAGGCCUACCGUUCCACCUAUCCUAGAGAGGUUUAAAUCAGUAGACCUCCAUUAGGCCUACCGUUCCACCUAUCCUAGAGAGGUUAAAUCAGUAGACCUCCAUUAGGCCUACCGUCCCACCUAUCCUAGAGAGGUUUAAAUCAGUAGACCUCCAUUAGGCCUACCGUUCCACCUAUCCUAGAGAGGUUAAAUCAGUAGACCUCCAUUAGGCCUACCGUUCCACCUAUCCUAGAGAGGUUAAAUCAGUAGACCUCCAUUAGGCCUACCGUUCCACCUAUCCUAGAGAGGUUAAAUCAGUAGACCUCCAUUAGGCCUACCGUUCCACCUAUCCUAGAGAGGUUAAAUCAGUAGACCUCCAUUAGGCCUACCGUUCCACCUAUCCUAGAGAGGUUAAAUCAGUAGACCUCCAUUAGGCCUACCGUUCCACCUAUCCUAGAGAGGUUAAAUCAGUAGACCUCCAUUAGGCCUACCGUAGCUGUUGUAGGUAUUUUAUUUAUUUGUUUUUAUUUAACCUUUAUUUUACUACAUAAAGGUCUACUUACUCUGCUGGCGUCUUGACCCAGUUAAUGCCCUCAUUUGCAAUGCAAACCCGGGCAUCAGGGCGACUACUUGUUCCAGGGUUAGGACUGUAACCACCAGAGGACUUGAAAAUGAGCCGGAGCUGAGAGGAUCACCAAAACUAAAGAACAUACAACCAUGCCGACAACCAUCCGUGGCGAUCAGUGGACAAAGGGCUGGACAAUGGCCCGCACCGAAAAAAUGCAUGGUUCCUAAGAAAACGGCCACUGUAAUCGAUGGGGGCUCAGGGUGGUACCAUUCUGCCCAUCUGAUGAAGGUGCACAUGGAUCAGAUUCAAACUUUGAAGACCGAGAUCGAGUCAUUGAAGGCAGACCAGCAGAAAGAGAAGCAUUCUCUGAGGGCAGAGAUACGGGCGACAGCUGAUGCAUUGGUCCAGAGCCAGGUGGUAUUGGCGGAGAGUCAGGCACACCUUAGAGCUCUGGAACUCCACCUCCGACAGGCAGGUUUGUCUCCGACAGGCAGGUUGUUGGUUCACCCUGACAUCUCCAUUCCUCUUCUGACAACAUAACUUGAUGAACUGCUCACCAGGCACAGCAAGGGCCGUCCGGACCGUUUUGUUGUUCUGCUAUUCCAAGGAUGUGUAACCGAAGAGAGAUACCACGAGUGGACACAGAAUACCAACAGGGAUGGAUCCCGAGGCAAAUGUGGCUUACCAGUGAACCUCGGGGUUUUCAUCAUUAAUACUGUGUCUCAGAAGUUUCUGUCCAUGACUGAUGCAGCCCGAAAAAUAAUUAAAGACAGUUAAUGAUUACUUGAGGUCACCGAGAAGUCCAGACAUGGUCUGCUCUCCCUUAUGUAAGCAAUUAGGCACUUUACCAUGUGUACUAUGUACUGUAUUUUUUUUAAAUUUAUUUUAACCUUUAUUUAACCAGGUAGGC